CCAGGAGAUGGAUUAAGUAAACAAGGUUCCAAAGAUAUGAGUAGGGAAAUCUCAAAACCAAAGUCACUACAGCCCUCACCAUUGGCCAAGAGCUGCAUGAUCAAGACCACAAAAGUUAAAUUCAAAACUACCUUUGAGUCUAUCCUCCAUAAAUUUGGACUCCUCUUCCUUUCUGCCCAGAUCUGUUUAACCACCCACCCAAACUGAAAUUCAUUCCUUCUUCCUUUGAGCAUACUGAGCCAGAAAGAUUCCAUCCUCUAAAUAACCCAGUAAUUGUACAUUUUGAUGAGCGGCAUAUCCACAAUGCUCCCAUUUCCAGCUAGUCCCCAGUUUUUGUUAUGUUAUUGGUAUUUUUGAAAGCAAAAAUAAAUAAUCCUAUCAAGAGUAUAGGUUGGGUUUAAUGGGUUCAACUGAGCUGCACUCCGGGAA
rnacentral:lncRNA from 1 species